rnacentral:rRNA from 1 species
GAUGAACGCUGGCGGCGUGCCUAAUACAUGCAAGUCGAGCGAACAGACGAGGAGCUUGCUCCUCUGACGUUAGCGGCGGACGGGUGAGUAACACGUGGAUAACCUACCUAUAAGACUGGGAUAACUUCGGGAAACCGGAGCUAAUACCGGAUAAUAUAUUGAACCGCAUGGUUCAAUAGUGAAAGACGGUUUUGCUGUCACUUAUAGAUGGAUCCGCGCCGCAUUAGCUAGUUGGUAAGGUAACGGCUUACCAAGGCAACGAUGCGUAGCCGACCUGAGAGGGUGAUCGGCCACACUGGAACUGAGACACGGUCCAGACUCCGACGGGAGGCAGCAGUAGGGAAUCUUCCGCAAUGGGCGAAAGCCUGACGGAGCAACGCCGCGUGAGUGAUGAAGGUCUUCGGAUCGUAAAACUCUGUUAUGAGGGAAGAACAAAUGUGUAAGUAACUAUGCACGUCUUGACGGUACCUAAUCAGAAAGCCACGGCUAACUACGUG